UAGCAAAACGCCCUUGAGCAAGUGAGCAAGGACAGUUCAGUUAACACAAGGAUUUCCUAAGACAAACAGCAAAUUUUGUAAAGGCAUUCAUGAAUGGAAAGAAAUAUAAGUCGUGAACAUUUUGGUUAGCAGAACUGUUUUCAAGAUUCGUCUGAAAGGAGCUACAUUGAUCUACUGAUUAAAGGCGAAUAUGUGGACCGCGUUCUUCGGGCUCUUCGUGACUUUCCUUACAUUAGAAUGUACACCCGUUUCCGGCAACGUCCAGGUCGUUAAAAGAAAGAAAACGGCCAUUGAAUGUUCCUCAAACUCUGAUAUCUCAUUCAAAUUUUAUAGCAACGUGUUAAAGAAGUCUUUAACGAUUGCAGAAUGUGAUUUUCACAGAAAAUCAUGUGCGUUAUUGACAACUCUUCAUACACAUGCAUACGAUAUUUCGUACACUGGGCGUGGUGGUAUCCUGGUGAUAAGAGAUAUAGAGGAAGAAAUCAUUGGAACUUAUCAAUGCUUUGACACGUAUAAUCCUCAGAAUUUAGUGAGCACGUACAUAACACCGUCGGAAUAUACAGCCACAAAGGACAAUAAUUUAAGUGUCCCAAUUAUUACUACUGAGCCACGGCUUCGGAAUGAAUCUGGGCAUAUCGUGUUAGGCGUCUUGAGGGAUAAGACCAUAGAAUGCUCUUCCAAUGUGGAUAUAACUUUUAGAUUUAUGCAUAAUACAGCAAACGCCUCAGUAACAUUUGCAGAAUGUGAUUUAUCGAAGAAAGCAUGCACUAUAUCGAAAGCAAGUUUUCACAACAAAUACAAUCUGUCUUACACAGGAAUCGGAGGAGUUUUGCAUAUCAACAGUCUGAACAAUGAAUCAUUUGGAACAUAUAUAUGUUGUGCAACGUAUAAUCCAAGUAUCUUCGUCAGUAUUGACAUGAUUGCACAUAUUAUGGAGUCAGCGGAUAACACUUAUAAUGUAACUGUACUGCGCGAGAAUAAUACAGAAAUCCAUUGGGAGAAAGGCGGAACACAUAACUCUUCACCAACAUUGACAAUUGCCCUUUCUAUAUGCGGUGCUCUAGUAAUUAUUGGACUCGUAUGCGGCAUAGUCUGGUGUAGGAGGAAAGCUUUCCUCUUCUUUUUCUCUGACCCAGAAAAUAUGGAAAUGUUUGCUCCAACCAAGUGUUCAAAUGCCACAGCUACAUAUCAGAAUGAAGAUACUACAAAUACUAGUUCAGAGACAGCAUCAAUAACAUCACCAUAUGUAUAUUAGGUACAAUCUACUUUCCUUAAACAAGAACAUGUCCAUUCUGUCAUCCAUUCCUCAUUGAUGACCACAAUCCGCGCCAUUACUGGAGGUAACUGACAAUACACCGAAUGGCGACAGCACACAUCCAAUUACACAACCUGAUGACUUGGACCAAUUUCUCACUGAUGCAGCGCAAGACGUUAGAGUUGUUGCUGCCAUCGAACUUGGUACAACACACAGUGGGUAUGCCUAUUCGUUCUCUAACGAUCCAAACAACGUGGUUAUCAACAAGAACUGGUUAUCUGGCGGCUUAUAUAGCUUUACAGCAACUAAAACUCCGACAAUUGUUCUUCUUGACAACAAUGGUGAAUUUCACUCAUUUGGAUACGAUGCGGAAGCACACUUUCUUUCGCUAGCGCAUGAAAAUAAGCACAGAGGCUGGAGAUUGUUCAGUCGUUUUAAAAUGGUACUGCAUGAUUACAAGAACUGUUCCGUCGAAACGACUAUUGAUGACAUAGAGGGCCACCCAUAUCCCGCGAUUAAAAUAUUUACCAUGGCACUACACUUUCUGAAAAGACAUCUCAUUGAAGCUUUAAAAUAUAAAUUACCGACAUUAAUUGAUACCAACAUACAGUACAUUGUAACUGUACCUGCGAUAUGGACUGUUGAGGCCAUUGCCUUCAUGAGGGAGUCUGCUGUUAAGGCUGGAAUAAAUAACGAACGUCUUAAAUUUGUUGUUGAUUCUGUUGCGGCGUCAAACUGGUGGACACGUUUAAACAACACAGACAGUCAAGACAUUACUUUACAAACGCCCGGGUCCAAAUUUUUGGUUGCAAAAAUAGGAGGUGCAACCGCAAGUAUAUUAGCAUCUCAAGUAUUAUCUGAAGGCAAAGUCAAAGUAAUACAUGAAGCGAGCGGGGGGCCUUGGGGUGCUACAAACGUCGAUCAGCAGUUUAUAAAUAACCUAAAGAAAAAUCUAGGAGCUAGAAAAUUUGACAAACUUCGUAGAAAGCACAUUGAAGAUUACUACGGACUUUUAAGAAAUAUUGAAAAAAAAAUCCGAUCAAAAUAUGUUUUGCGUGGCGAUGAUUGUGUUUUGGAUCUCCCGCAUUCACUCUCGCGGAAAGGCAAACAUAAAGUUAAAACAGCCAUGGUUAAAACAUGGUUUGAUUCGGAAAUUUUGAGUUUUAUUUCGCACAUUGAAACUCAAUUACAUGAAAAUCCCAGCUUAAGGGAGAUAACCAAUAUGAUUUUAGUCGACAGAUUUGCCGAAUCGUUGUAUGUUCAAAGCAAGUUUACGGAAGUAUUUAAAGAUCUAAAGCUGAGUGUUCCUCAAGAACCAGGAUUGGCAGUUCUGAAAGGAGCCGUUUUAUAUGGACACAACACUGAUACAUCAGAUUGAUAUCAUAUAAGGCAAACUAUUCUCAUCGAUAUUUUGGAUUUCAGGCAAUAUGAGGCUAGAUGUAUCACGCUCGCGAUAGAUAUAGCUGAUGCUUGUAUUUACUUCAUUAUACCGUUGUUCAGAACGGUACACAACUGUUUCUUUGUUUAACAUUCCACAAUUGAUUUUUAAUAUGUAAUUACAUUGAUGUAUCAUUCUCUUGUAUUGCUUUUUAAUAUAUAUAUAUAUAUAUAUAUAUAUAUAUAUAUAUAUAUAUAUAGUUUGUGGAAUGUACUGUAUUUGUGUAUGUGUUUCUUUUCUAAAUAAAACCCAAUUCUAGAA